rnacentral:lncRNA from 1 species
AACAAAACCAUAACCUUUGGUGCGCCCUGUGGCCCUAUCUGUUACAACCUUAGCACCCCUCACAGAAGGAUAGUUAACCCUAAAUGUCUCCUGAAGCAUGUAAUCAGUGACAUCAGCUGCCAAGUCACCAACAAAUAUUGUAUAUUCAGGAGCAUUGUCGGAACGUUUUUCACCGGAACCAAGAUAGUUAACCCUAAAUGUCUCCUGAAGCAAGUAAUCAGUGACAUCAGCUGCCAAAUCACCAACAAAUAUUGUAUAUUCAGGAGCAUUGUCGGAACGUUUUUCACCGGAACCAAGUGAUGCCCAGUUAAGUCUAAAAUUUUGCUCAAUAUUAGGCAUCAAGGUCCCAUUAUAUGCUU